UACGAAGGGGGCUAGCGUUGUUCGGAUUUACUGGGCGUAAAGCGCAUGUAGGCGGAUAUUUAAGUCAGGGGUGAAAUCCCGGGGCUCAACCCCGUAACUGCCUCUGAUACUGGGUAUCUUGAGUCCGGAAGAGGUGAGUGGAAUUCCGAGUGUAGAGGUGAAAUUCGUAGAUAUUCGGAGGAACACCAGUGGCGAAGGCGGCUCACUGGUCCGGUACUGACGCUGAGGUGCGAAAGCGUGGGGAGCAAACAGG
rnacentral:rRNA from 1 species